AUUGAACGCUGGCGGCAGGCCUAACACAUGCAAGUCGAACGGUAACAGGAAGAAGCUUGCUUCUUUGCUGACGAGUGGCGGACGGGUGAGUAAUGUCUGGGAAACUGCCUGAUGGAGGGGGAUAACUACUGGAAACGGUAGCUAAUACCGCAUAACGUCGCAAGACCAAAGAGGGGGACCUUCGGGCCUCUUGCCAUCGGAUGUGCCCAGAUGGGAUUAGCUAGUAGGUGGGGUAACGGCUCACCUAGGCGACGAUCCCUAGCUGGUCUGAGAGGAUGACCAGCCACACUGGAACUGAGACACGGUCCAGACUCCUACGGGAGGCAGCAGUGGGGAAUAUUGCACAAUGGGCGCAAACCUGAUGCAGCCAUGCCGCGUGUAUGAAGAAGGCCUUCGGGUUGUAAAGUACUUUCAGCGGGGAGGAAGGGAGUAAAGUUAAUACCUUUGCUCAUUGACGUUACCCGCAGAAGAAGCACCGGCUAACUCCGUG
rnacentral:rRNA from 1 species